rnacentral:rRNA from 1 species
AGCAGCCGCGGUAAUUCCAGCUCCAAUAGCGUAUAUUAAAGUUGUUGCAGUUAAAAAGCUCGUAGUUGAAUUUCGGGAUUAAUAUGUUGGUCGUGCCUUGGUACGUACUGGCAUUAUUGAUUCCUACCUUCUGAAGAACCUCGAUGUCAUUAAUUUGGUGUCUUGGGGAAUCAGGACCGUUACUUUGAAAAAAUUAGAGUGUUUAAAGCAGGCUCACGCUUGAAUACAUUAGCAUGGAAUAAUGAAAUAGGACGUUUGAUUCUAUUUUGUUGGUUUCUAGGAUCGACGUAAUGAUUAAUAGGGAUAGUUGGGGGCAUUAGUAUUCAAUUGUCAGAGGUGAAAUUCUUGGAUUUAUUGAAGACUGACUACUGCGAAAGCAUUUGCCAAGGAUGUUUUCAUUAAUCAAGAACGAAAGUUAGGGGAUCGAAGACGAUCAGAUACCGUCGUAGUCUUAACCAUAAACUAUGCCGACUAGGGAUCGGAUGAUGUUAAUUUUUUAAUGACUCAUUCGGCGCCUUACG